rnacentral:rRNA from 1 species
UAAGCGACUAAGCGUACACGGUGGAUGCCCUGGCAGUCAGAGGCGAUGAAGGACGUGCUAAUCUGCGAUAAGCGUCGGUAAGGUGAUAUGAACCGUUAUAACCGGCGAUUUCCGAAUGGGGAAACCCAGUGUGAUUCGUCACACUAUCAUUAACUGAAUCCAUAGGUUAAUGAGGCGAACCGGGGGAACUGAAACAUCUAAGUACCCCGAGGAAAAGAAAUCAACCGAGAUUCCCCCAGUAGCGGCGAGCGAACGGGGAGCAGCCCAGAGCCUGAAUCAGUGUGUGUGUUAGUGGAAGCGUCUGGAAAGGCGCGCGAUACAGGGUGACAGCCCCGUACACAAAAAUGCACAUACUGUGAGCUCGAUGAGUAGGGCGGGACACGUGGUAUCCUGUCUGAAUAUGGGGGGACCAUCCUCCAAGGCUAAAUACUCCUGACUGACCGAUAGUGAACCAGUACCGUGAGGGAAAGGCGAAAAGAACCCCGGCGAGGGGAGUGAAAAAGAACCUGAAACCGUGUACGUACAAGCAGUGGGAGCACGCUUAGGCGUGUGACUGCGUACCUUUUGUAUAAUGGGUCAGCGACUUAUAUUCUGUAGCAAGGUUAACCGAAUAGGGGAGCCGAAGGGAAACCGAGUCUUAACUGGGCGUUAAGUUGCAGGGUAUAGACCCGAAACCCGGUGAUCUAGCCAUGGGCAGGUUGAAGGUUGGGUAACACUAACUGGAGGACCGAACCGACUAAUGUUGAAAAAUUAGCGGAUGACUUGUGGCUGGGGGUGAAAGGCCAAUCAAACCGGGAGAUAGCUGGUUCUCCCCGAAAGCUAUUUAGGUAGCGCCUCGUGAAUUCAUCUCCGGGGGUAGAGCACUGUUUCGGCAAGGGGGUCAUCCCGACUUACCAACCCGAUGCAAACUGCGAAUACCGGAGAAUGUUAUCACGGGAGACACACGGCGGGUGCUAACGUCCGUCGUGAAGAGGGAAACAACCCAGACCGCCAGCUAAGGUCCCAAAGUCAUGGUUAAGUGGGAAACGAUGUGGGAAGGCCCAGACAGCCAGGAUGUUGGCUUAGAAGCAGCCAUCAUUUAAAGAAAGCGUAAUAGCUCACUGGUCGAGUCGGCCUGCGCGGAAGAUGUAACGGGGCUAAACCAUGCACCGAAGCUGCGGCAGCGACGCUUAUGCGUUGUUGGGUAGGGGAGCGUUCUGUAAGCCUGUGAAGGUGUGCUGUGAGGCAUGCUGGAGGUAUCAGAAGUGCGAAUGCUGACAUAAGUAACGAUAAAGCGGGUGAAAAGCCCGCUCGCCGGAAGACCAAGGGUUCCUGUCCAACGUUAAUCGGGGCAGGGUGAGUCGACCCCUAAGGCGAGGCCGAAAGGCGUAGUCGAUGGGAAACAGGUUAAUAUUCCUGUACUUGGUGUUACUGCGAAGGGGGGACGGAGAAGGCUAUGUUGGCCGGGCGACGGUUGUCCCGGUUUAAGCGUGUAGGCUGGUUUUCCAGGCAAAUCCGGAAAAUCAAGGCUGAGGCGUGAUGACGAGGCACUACGGUGCUGAAGCAACAAAUGCCCUGCUUCCAGGAAAAGCCUCUAAGCAUCAGGUAACAUCAAAUCGUACCCCAAACCGACACAGGUGGUCAGGUAGAGAAUACCAAGGCGCUUGAGAGAACUCGGGUGAAGGAACUAGGCAAAAUGGUGCCGUAACUUCGGGAGAAGGCACGCUGAUAUGUAGGUGAAGUCCCUCGCGGAUGGAGCUGAAAUCAGUCGAAGAUACCAGCUGGCUGCAACUGUUUAUUAAAAACACAGCACUGUGCAAACACGAAAGUGGACGUAUACGGUGUGACGCCUGCCCGGUGCCGGAAGGUUAAUUGAUGGGGUCAGCGCAAGCGAAGCUCUUGAUCGAAGCCCCGGUAAACGGCGGCCGUAACUAUAACGGUCCUAAGGUAGCGAAAUUCCUUGUCGGGUAAGUUCCGACCUGCACGAAUGGCGUAAUGAUGGCCAGGCUGUCUCCACCCGAGACUCAGUGAAAUUGAACUCGCUGUGAAGAUGCAGUGUACCCGCGGCAAGACGGAAAGACCCCGUGAACCUUUACUAUAGCUUGACACUGAACAUUGAGCCUUGAUGUGUAGGAUAGGUGGGAGGCUUAGAAGUGUGGACGCCAGUCUGCAUGGAGCCGACCUUGAAAUACCACCCUUUAAUGUUUGAUGUUCUAACGUUGACCCGUAAUCCGGGUUGCGGACAGUGUCUGGUGGGUAGUUUGACUGGGGCGGUCUCCUCCUAAAGAGUAACGGAGGAGCACGAAGGUUGGCUAAUCCUGGUCGGACAUCAGGAGGUUAGUGCAAUGGCAUAAGCCAGCUUGACUGCGAGCGUGACGGCGCGAGCAGGUGCGAAAGCAGGUCAUAGUGAUCCGGUGGUUCUGAAUGGAAGGGCCAUCGCUCAACGGAUAAAAGGUACUCCGGGGAUAACAGGCUGAUACCGCCCAAGAGUUCAUAUCGACGGCGGUGUUUGGCACCUCGAUGUCGGCUCAUCACAUCCUGGGGCUGAAGUAGGUCCCAAGGGUAUGGCUGUUCGCCAUUUAAAGUGGUACGCGAGCUGGGUUUAGAACGUCGUGAGACAGUUCGGUCCCUAUCUGCCGUGGGCGCUGGAGAACUGAGGGGGGCUGCUCCUAGUACGAGAGGACCGGAGUGGACGCAUCACUGGUGUUCGGGUUGUCAUGCCAAUGGCACUGCCCGGUAGCUAAAUGCGGAAGAGAUAAGUGCUGAAAGCAUCUAAGCACGAAACUUGCCCCGAGAUGAGUUCUCCCUGACUCCUUGAGAGUCCUGAAGGAACGUUGAAGACGACGACGUUGAUAGGCCGGGUGUGUAAGCGCAGCGAUGCGUUGAGCUAACCGGUACUAAUGAACCGUGAGGCUUAACCU